rnacentral:tRNA from 2 species
GCCCGGGUAGCUCAGCCUGGUUAGAGCGCCGGGCUGUGGACCCGGAGGUCCCGGGUUCAAAUCCCGGCCCGGGCC